rnacentral:lncRNA from 1 species
CAAAAAUAUAUCCGUAUCCGAUUCGGUUGGAUAAUAUUCUCAUACUACAGACCUGUUUUUGUUAUUUUUGUUAUAGUGAUAAGAGCAUUUGCAAGAACACCCGAUGAACUCUUUGCAGUCCCAAGAAUGGCCUUGUCCGAGACUCCCACUUAUAGUUUUUGCUCGAGAAUCUAUCAAGUCAAUUAGGGGUGCAGAUGUUGCUAGCUGCUCAU